UUUGUUUUGCACUUUUGUUCAAUAAAGUUUAAUAUUUGAUACAUCCCCGACCUGGAGACCAUAUACUAGAUAGAUGUUGGAACAGGGAGAUUGAACAGGGGCUUGCUCCGUCCACUCUGCCCAUCGACCUGGUAUUGCAGUAUCUCCAGGAACGCUGCACCACAC